AUUGAACGCUGGCGGCAGGCUUAACACAUGCAAGUCGAGCGGUAACAUUUCUAGCUUGCUAGAAGAUGACGAGCGGCGGACGGGUGAGUAAUACUUAGGAAUCUACCUAGUAGUGGGGGAUAGCUCGGGGAAACUCGAAUUAAUACCGCAUACGACCUACGGGAGAAAGGGGGCAACUUGUUGCUCUUGCUAUUAGAUGAGCCUAAGUCGGAUUAGCUAGUUGGUGGGGUAAAGGCCUACCAAGGCGACGAUCUGUAGCUGGUCUGAGAGGAUGAUCAGCCACACCGGGACUGAGACACGGCCCGGACUCCUACGGGAGGCAGCAGUGGGGAAUAUUGGACAAUGGGGGCAACCCUGAUCCAGCCAUGCCGCGUGUGUGAAGAAGGCCUUUUGGUUGUAAAGCACUUUAAGCAGUGAAGAAGACUCUUCGGUUAAUACCCGGAGACGAUGACAUUAGCUGCAGAAUAAGCACCGGCUAACUCUGUGCCAGCAGCCGCGGUAAUACAGAGGGUGCAAGCGUUAAUCGGAAUUACUGGGCGUAAAGCGAGCGUAGGUGGCUUGAUAAGUCAGAUGUGAAAGCCCCGGGCUUAACCUGGGAACGGCAUCUGAUACUGUUAGGCUAGAGUAGGUGAGAGGGAAGUAGAAUUUCAGGUGUAGCGGUGAAAUGCGUAGAGAUCUGAAGGAAUACCGAUGGCGAAGGCAGCUUCCUGGCAUCAUACUGACACUGAGGCUCGAA
rnacentral:rRNA from 1 species